GACGAACGCUGGCGGCGUGCUUAACACAUGCAAGUCGAACGGAAGGGCCCUGAUUUUGUGGGGUGCCGGGGUGGCGAUGGGGUGCGUAACACGUGAGUAACCUGCCCUAGACUUUGGGGUAAGUUAAGGAAGCUAGGGCUACUCCAGGAUCGCAGCUCCCGCUGCAUGGUGGGGGUUGGAACGUUUCAGCGGGCGGGGAUGGAUUGGCGGCUUAUCAGCUAGUUGGUGGGGUAGUGGCAUACCAAGCCUUUGACGGGUACCCGGCAGGAGAGGGUGACCGGCCACAUGGGGACUGAGAGACGGCCCAGACUCCAACGGUAGGCAGCAGUGGGAAAUAUGGCACAAUGGGCGGAAGCCUGAUGCAGCGACGCCGGGGUCGUGAUGACGGCCUUCGGGGUAUAAACCGCAUUCGGCUGAGACGCAGCGGGAGUGACGGUAAUGGGUAAAGAAGCACCGGCUAACUACGUG
rnacentral:rRNA from 1 species